CCCAUUGGGUCAGACACUCGGUCCGGGCCAGGGAGGUGACGGCAGGACGGGCGGUCGGGGAGGCGCCCUCAGGCGGAGGCGGGAGGGGUGACCUCAGCUCAGCCGUUCCCAGCUACUGGGCAUGAGCUCGGCGUCUGCCCCACGGCUGCGUGCACUCCAGCGGCACCUGGGCUCCCGGGAGGGCAGAGGCAUGGAGCCAGUCCGCAGCCCAAUGACCACACACGUGCUGGACACUGCCUCCGGGCUCCCAGCCCAAGGCCUCUGCCUCUGUCUGUCGAGGCUCAAGGACCAUGGCCAGCAGUGGACAGAACUGAGGAGAAGCUACACCGACCCCGAUGGCCGCUGCCCUGGUCUCCUGCUGCCAGGCCAGAUGAAGGCGGGCAUCUACAAGCUGACCUUCGACACAGAGAGUUACUGGAAGAAAAGGGGGCAGGACAGCUUCUACCCUUAUGUGGAGGUGAGGGCACAGGCUGGCAUGGAGUGGAGGCUGUGAUUCACUGACUCCAAGGUCCUGCGGAGGGCAGUGCCCCUCCCCCCUCUCCCAGGGCAGUGGCAGGCAGUGAGUUCACCUGCUUUGAGCUCCCAGGAGAAAGGUGUCCCUCCCGUCCCCGGGUCAGGCUAGGGGGCAGGGUGGAGGGUGACUAAGCCCCUGUGGACACGGGUGUUGAACAAGUCCCGUCCAAAUCACUGGGCCUCACCUUGCUGCCCCCCCUUCGCCUGACCUGUUUCAGGGUGGGCACCUUGGGAAGCCUGGCAGGCCCUCAAGCCAAGAGCUCCCUCUAGAGCGGAUUCAGUCUUGUCCACAGCCCGUUUCCAGUCAGCAGGCGCUGGCCGCUCUGGGGCUCCCUGGGAGCCAGCCCUCAGGCCGCAGUCCGGCUUCUCCAGGGGAGCACGGGGACAGUGCUCCCUCCUGCUGCUUCUGU